UGGAAGCUGGGAUUUUGUCAGUGUGGGCUUUCAGUCGGAUGUUUGCAUCAUCUUAUUGCCACAAACCACC
rnacentral:miRNA from 1 species